rnacentral:rRNA from 1 species
AUGAGCAGCCUUUUCAGCCAUCAACCAAUCAUUCUUCACUCAUUCAUACAGAAGAGGGUAUAUCCUUACAGGACACCAGUUCAUUCACAUAAAAAUUCAUCCACAUAUUAUGCCCAUUCAAUCAUUCCUUCACAAGACAAAUUAACAUAUGACAUUUAUAUAAGAAUCAACAUAAUACAUCGAUCAUCUUUUGGCCACCCAUACAUGAAUAAACGUAUAAAUACAAAAUAUAUGUGUGUUAAUAUGGUUCCACAUAGUCUCCUCAUGACGGAUCUGGGGAGUCUUGUCUUCUUGGUGGAUGACCCGAGGAGAGUUGGUUUUGUGUCGGCAUAUCUGAAGAGAGAUAUACCAUCAUGGUUGGAUUAUACAGAAAGAUAUGGAAGCGAACUACAAGAUCAGGAGAGAACGAAAGAACAAACAUCAUCGCUAAUUGAGGACUCAAGUGCCUAUUCCUUGUAUCGAGGUAGGAUUUGA